rnacentral:tRNA from 1 species
GGGAAUGUGGCUCAGUGGUAGAGUGCUUGCCUAGCAUGCACGAAGCCCUGGGUUCAAUUCCUUAUUACCA